AUUGAACGCUGGCGGCAGGCCUAACACAUGCAAGUCGAACGAGUGGCGGACGGGUGAGUAAUGUCUGGGAAACUGCCUGAUGGAGGGGGAUAACUACUGGAAACGGUAGCUAAUACCGCAUACCAUCGGAUGUGCCCAGAUGGGAUUAGCUAGUAGGUGGGGUAACGUCUCACCUAGGCGACGAUCCCUAGCUGGUCUGAGAGGAUGACCAGCCACACUUGACUUGAGCCACGUUCCAGACUCCGACGGGAGGCAGCAGUGGGUAAUAUUGCACAUGGGGCGCAAGCCUGAUGCAGCCAUGCCGCUUGUAUGAAGAAGGCCUUCGGGUUGUAAAGUACUUUCAGCGGGGAGGCGUUACCCGCAGAAGAAGCACCGGCUAACUCCGUGCCCGCCGCCGCGGUAAUUC
rnacentral:rRNA from 1 species